rnacentral:rRNA from 1 species
CCUACGGGACGCAGCAGUGAGGAAUAUUGGUCAAUGGGCGGGAGCCUGAACCAGCCAAGUCGCGUGAGGGAUGACGGCCCUAUGGGUUGUAAACCUCUUUUGCCGGGGAGCAAGCCUGAGCACGUGUGCCCAGGCGGAGAGUACCCGGAGAAAAAGCAUCGGCUAAUUCCGUGCCAGCAGCCGCGGUAAUACGGAGGAUGCGAGCGUUAUCCGGAUUUAUUGGGUUUAAAGGGUGCGCAGGCGGGCUGUUAAGCCGGUGUGCAAAAUU